GAUGAACGCUGGCGGCGUGCCUAAUACAUGCAAGUCGAGCGAACAGACGAGGAGCUUGCUCCUCUGACGUUAGCGGCGGACGGGUGAGUAACACGUGGAUAACCUACCUAUAAGACUGGGAUAACUUCGGGAAACCGGAGCUAAUACCGGAUAAUAUAUUGAACCGCAUGGUUCAAUAGUGAAAGACGGUUUUGCUGUCACUUAUAGAUGGAUCCGCGCCGCAUUAGCUAGUUGGUAAGGUAACGGCUUAACAAGGCAACGAUGCGUAGCCGACCUGAGAGAGUGACCGGCCACACUGGAACUGAGACACGGUCCAGACUCAUACGGGAGGCAGGAGUAGGGAAUCUUCCGCAAUGGGCGAAAGCUUGACAGAGCAACGCCGCGUGAGUGAUGAAGGUCUUCGGAUCGUAAAACUCUGUUAUUAGGGAAGAACAAAUGUGUAAGUAACUAUGAACGUCUUGACGGUACCUAAUCAGAAAGCCACGGUUAACUACGUG
rnacentral:rRNA from 1 species